rnacentral:rRNA from 1 species
CCAGACUCCUACGGGAGGCAGCAGUGGGGGAUAUUGCACAAUGGAGGAAACUCUGAUGCAGCGACGCCGCGUGAGGGAAGACGGUCUUCGGAUUGUAAACCUCUGUCUUUGGGGAAGAAAAUGACGGUACCCAAAGAGGAAGCUCCGGCUAACUACGUGCCAGCAGCCGCGGUAAUACGUAGGGAGCGAGCGUUGUCCGGAAUUACUGGGUGUAAAGGGAGCGUAGGCGGCUUCUUAAGUCUGUAGUCUAAGCCCGGAGCUUAACUCCGGUUCGCUACAGAAACUGAUUAGCUUGAGUAUGGUAGAGGCAAGUGGAAUUUCUAGUGUAGCGGUUAAAUGCGUAGAUAUUAGAAGGAACACCAGUGGCGAAGGCGACGUGCUGGGCCAUUACUGACGCUGAGGCACGAAAGCGUGGGGAGCAAAUAGGAUUAGAUACCCUAGUAGGU